ACUCCUACGGGAGGCAGCAGUGGGGAAUAUUGCACAAUGGGCGCAAGCCUGAUGCAGCCAUGCCGCGUGUAUGAAGAAGGCCUUCGGGUUGUAAAGUACUUUCAGCAGUGAGGAAGGCGGGUGUGUUAAUAGCACAUUCGUUUGACGUUAGCUGCAGAAGAAGCACCGGCUAACUCCGUGCCAGCAGCCGCGGUAAUACGGAGGGUGCGAGCGUUAAUCGGAAUUACUGGGCGUAAAGCGCAUGCAGGUGGUUUGUUAAGUCAGAUGUGAAAGCCCGGGGCUCAACCUCGGAAUUGCAUUUGAAACUGGCAGACUAGAGUACUGUAGAGGGGGGUAGAAUUUCAGGUGUAGCGGUGAAAUGCGUAGAGAUC
rnacentral:rRNA from 1 species